AUUGAACGCUGGCGGCAUGCCUUACACAUACAAGUCGAACAGCAGCACGGGAGCAAUCCUGGUGGCGAGUGGUGAACGGGUGAGUAAUGUAUCGGAACGUGCCCAGUCGUGGGGGAUAACGUAGCGAAAGCUACGCUAAUACCGCAUACGAUCUGUGGAUGAAAGCGGGGGACCGUAAGGCCUCGCGCGAUUGGAGCGGCCGAUAUCAGAUUAGGUAGUUGGUGGGGUAAAGGCCUACCAAGCCGACGAUCUGUAGCUGGUCUGAGAGGACGACCAGCCACACUGGGACUGAGACACGGCCCAGACUCCUACGGGAGGCAGCAGUGGGGAAUUUUGGACAAUGGGCGCAAGCCUGAUCCAGCAAUGCCGCGUGCAGGAUGAAGGCCUUCGGGUUGUAAACUGCUUUUGUACGGAGCGAAAAGGCUCUCUCUAAUACAGGGGGCUCAUGACGGUACCGUAAGGAUAAGCACCGGCUAACUACGUGCCAGCAGCCGCCGCAG
rnacentral:rRNA from 1 species